UAGGGCUUUUCCCCUAUUUGGAUCAGGGGAACCAGGAAGUCCAGAGAUGGCGCGAGACGUGGUGUUUGGGGAUUGGCUGGCAUCCCCUACUAAUUUCUGAGAAGAGCUGUGAAUUCCUACAACUUCUGCUACCUAAGAUUCCAGCAGUGCUCAGAGUUUCAGAGAAGAGAAUGGCAAGCUGAUCCCCAGGCUCUGCUGUGACUGCUUGCCGGAAGGAGCACAACACUGUUAGAGAAAUGUCAAAAUUCUCCAGAAGUGAAAAUUUCUGGAUUUUAGCCGUUUCAGUGCCAAGACAGACAGCCAGUGAGAGAGGGAACACAGCAG